AUUGAACGCUGGCGGCAGGCCUAACACAUGCAAGUCGAGCGGAAACGAGUUAUCUAAACCUUCGGGGAACGAUAACGGCGUCGAGCGGCGGACGGGUGAGUAAUGCCUAGGAAAUUGCCCUGAUGUGGGGGAUAACCAUUGGAAACGAUGGCUAAUACCGCAUGAUGCCUACGGGCCAAAGAGGGGGACCUUCGGGCCUCUCGCGUCAGGAUAUGCCUAGGUGGGAUUAGCUAGUUGGUGAGGUAAGGGCUCACCAAGGCAACGAUCCCUAGCUGGUCUGAGAGGAUGAUCAGCCACACUGGAACUGAGACACGGUCCAGACUCCUACGGGAGGCAGCAGUGGGGAAUAUUGCACAAUGGGCGCAAGCCUGAUGCAGCCAUGCCGCGUGUGUGAAGAAGGCCUUCGGGUUGUAAAGCACUUUCAGUCGUGAGGAAGGUAGUGUGUUUAAUAGAUGCAUUAUUUGACGUUAGCGACAGAAGAAGCACCGGCUAACUCCGUGCCAGCAGCCGCGGUAAUACGGAGGGUGCGAGCGUUAAUCGGAAUUACUGGGCGUAAAGCGCAUGCAGGUGGUUUGUUAAGUCAGAUGUGAAAGCCCGGGGCUCAACCUCGGAAUAGCAUUUGAAACUGGCAGACUAGAGUACUGUAGAGGGGGGUAGAAUUUCAGGUGUAGCGGUGAAAUGCGUAGAGAUCUGAAGGAAUACCGGUGGCGAAGACGGCCCCCUGGACAGAUACUGACACUCAGAUGCGAAAGCGUGGGGAGCAAACAGG
rnacentral:rRNA from 1 species